GACGGAAGGUGCAAGCGUUGCUCGGAAUCACUGGGCGUAAAGGGUGCGUAGGCGGUUUCGUAAGUCGGAUGUGAAAACUCCAGGCUCAACUUGGAGACGCCAUUCGAUACUGCGAUGACUUGAGUCCGGUAGGGGAGUGUGGAAUUCCUGGUGUAGCGGUGAAAUGCGCAGAUAUCAGGAGGAACACCGGCGGCGAAGGCGGCACUCUGGGCCGGUACUGACGCUGAGGAGCGAAAGCGUGGGUAGCAAACAGG
rnacentral:rRNA from 1 species